CCAAGAAACCUCGAUAGAACUGAAUAAAGCAUUGCAUUAAUUAAGGGAACCAAUGUGAGACAAACAAUGGGAAGACGUUAACUGGCUAGUCUUGAAAACGCAUGAGGUUUUAAGGGAUUCAUCUAGCUAUCAAUUUACCCAUAUCUUACACUUUCAAGACAGUAUUAAGCUGAAUAAUUGUGAUGCUUCUAUAUGAACAAGGGAAUAGAUUUAUUGGCCGGAGAGGAGGCUGUUAUGAGACAUCUAGUAGUGAAGGAAUUUCAGAUCCCUUGUGUGCAUGCUGCUGCUUUACCACCUCUUCCAUUAACUCAAUUCCUUUGCCCUAAAUCAACUGCUGAGGAGAUAGGAUAUACUUUUUUGCCAUGUUCACUAGCUGGGCUACUUGGCCAAGAGCUCUGAAUCCCUGGAGAAGAGUUGCAUAUUAGCACUUGAUAUGGAUAGUCUUGUCCUUCCUAUUGAUGGUUGUGGAGGAGAUGGUUUGCAACCAGAAAAAGAAAAUAACAAAUAACAAAUUUAUGGUGCUUCCUAUUGAUGGUGCACAUUCAAAGACA